AACCUCUGUUGUGGACACUUCUAAAAGAGGUCCUUGAAUCAUUCCCAAGUCUCAAACAAGGAUUCAAGCUCCAUCUAAACAAAUGAAGAUAUCUCAUUGUGAAGCUU